rnacentral:rRNA from 1 species
CCGCGUGAGUGAGAAGGCCUUCGGGUUGUAAAACUCUUCUCGGCAGGAACGAAACGGUGGUUACUAAUACUAACCACGAAUGACGGUACCUGAAGAAGAAGCACCGGCUAACUACGUGCCAGCAGCCGCGGUAAUACGUAGGGUGCGAGCGUUAAUCGGAAUUACUGGGCGUAAAGCGUGCGCAGGCGGCUCUGUAAGACAGAUGUGAAAUCCCCGGGCUUAACCUGGGAACUGCGUUUGUGACUGUAGGGCUAGAGUGUGGCAGAGGGGGGUGGAAUUCCACGUGUAGCAGUGAAAUGCGUAGAGAUGUGGAGGAACACCGAUGGCGAAGGCAGCCCCCUGGGUCAACACUGACGCUCAUGCACGAAAGCGUGGGUAGCAAACAGGAUUAGAUACCCUGGUAGUCCACGCCCUAAACGAUGCGAACUGGGUGUUGGAAAAGGAGACUUCUUUAGUACCAUAUCUCACGCGUGA